rnacentral:rRNA from 1 species
UACAGGGGGUGCAACCGUUGCUCGGAAUUAUUGGGCGUAAAGCGCGCGUAGGCGGCUACCUAAGUCGGAUGUGAAAGCCCCUGGCUUAACUGGGGAAGUGCACCCGAAACUGAGUAGCUAGAGUGCGAAAGAGGGUCGCGGAAUUCCCGGUGUAGAGGUGAAAUUCGUAGAUAUCGGGAGGAACACCGGUGGCGAAGGCGGCGACCUGGGUCGACACUGACGCUGAGGCGCGAAAGCGUGGGGAGCGAACGGG